UACAGAGUAGGAAAUGCUUAUAGAGAUUACAAGAGAAGGAAUUUCCCCAAAAAAGUUACCCUCAUUUUGUAGCACCAAUAUAAGUAGUAGUUGCAUUUGUCACUGAAUCAGAUGAAGUAGUUAGAAGUCAUAUAUUUUUACUUUGCUGUAAAGAUUAGUAUAACUAAUUUAAGAGAACUUUGUUAUUUUCUGAGCAGUUUCCAUUUUAAGACUUAGUGUCAAUUAGCUUUAUUCAAAGUAUCACUAAAAGUUAAUUAAAUCAAGGGUUUUGGGUGGUUUUUUUUUUAAAAAGUUCUGUUGAUCUUCUUUUACCCUGAAACUAAUGGUGAAUCUGUUGUCUACACUAUGUUAGGCAGAAAUGCACUUGUUGAAAUAGCAGAAACUAUACUUGACUUUCUAAUAGUGUGAAACACUUUUUUUUUAAAUGUGCUUGUCUGUAACUGAAAUGUUAUAGAAUUGUAACCCUGUAGGGAUUAUAGAGUUAUAUUUAUUAGCUCUCAACAGAUUGAAGCACAACAGUUCUCAUGUAACAAUCCUUAUUCAAGUGCUCUCUGUCGUACAAAUAAAGCUGAUUGCCUAUCUAGUUGUUCACACAUCACUAUUAUCCUGUAUGAGACAGUCUUGUUCAUUUGUAUUAAAAUUUGGGUAUUGUGAGUUAAUACUUUCAAAUAAACCUGUCAGUCAGCUCUGAUAUGCAGUAGAUUGUUUAGAUUCACAAAUUUUAUGUGUUACUGGUCAAUUUUGAAGAGACUUUACCACAGUGACUAAGGGGAAAAUUCUAUUGUAUCAUUUGACUUGAACAUUUGUAAAAGUCUUGUCUGUGGUGUUUCUAAAUUGCUUAAACCAUACAUUCUCUUAAGGAUUUUAAUUUGCUUUUGUUCUUUUCCAACAGUCAUUUUCUGGUUUUGUCUGUUACAGUAAACAUUUUAUAGACCUUAGGAAUUGUCAAGUUCUUGAACAUUUAUUUUCUUGAGUUGAUCACUUAACUCUUGUGUAUGUGAUUUGUCAUAAACAAUUAGAGCCUUUCACUUCUUCACUACAUGAAUUUCAGAGUAAACACUGUGAUUCUACAGAGCAGAUUCCAUAGGCGUUCCAAUAUUCUUAACUGUUACACAGUGCCUGUCACUUUGAGGGCACAUAAAUACUAGGAUGGAAAAUAAAACGUUGUUUUGAUGUUUGUUAAAUAACAAGAUUACAGAAUAUCUGUGGGGUUUUUUUUGUUUUUUGUGGUCAGUGUAAUAAAGAAUUUUGCAUUGAUAAAUAUUCUCUAGGAAUGUGUAUACAUUCAUCUAGUGUGAACUCUUGUAAAUGAAUUUUGUAUCUUGAAUCACGUAUAUAUUAAGUGUAUCAUCAAUAUAAAAAUAAACAUUAUUUGCUU
rnacentral:lncRNA from 1 species